GACGAACGCUGGCGGCGUGCUUAACACAUGCAAGUCGAGCGGUAAGGCCCUUUCGGGGGUACGACGAGCGGCGAACGGGUGAGUAACACGUGGGUGACCUGCCCUCAGCUCUGGGAUAAGCCUGGGAAACCGGGUCUAAUACUGGAUAUGACUCCAUGACGCAUGUUGUGGGGUGGAAAGCCUUGUGCGGCUGAGGAUGGGCCCGCGGCCUAUCAGCUUGUUGGUGGGGUGAUGGCCUACCAAGGCGACGACGGGUAGCCGGCCUGAGAGGGCGACCGGCCACACUGGGACUGAGACACGGCCCAGACUCCUACGGGAGGCAGCAGUGGGGAAUCUUGCGCAAUGGGCGAAAGCCUGACGCAGCGACGCCGCGUGAGGGAUGACGGCC
rnacentral:rRNA from 1 species